AUGGAUUUUCAGAUGCAGAUUAUCAGCUUGCUGCUAAUCAGUGUCACAGUCAUAGUGUCUAAUGGAGAAAUUGUGCUCACCCAGUCUCCAACCACCAUGGCUGCAUCUCCCGGGGAGAAGAUCACUAUCACCUGCAGUGCCAGCUCAAGUAUAAGUUCCAAUUACUUGCAUUGGUAUCAGCAGAAGCCAGGAUUCUCCCCUAAACUCUUGAUUUAUAGGACAUCCAAUCUGGCUUCUGGAGUCCCAGCUCGCUUCAGUGGCAGUGGGUCUGGGACCUCUUACUCUCUCACAAUUGGCACCAUGGAGGCUGAAGAUGUUGCCACUUACUACUGCCAGCAGGGUAGUAGUAUACCACGCA